UUCAAACUUUCUUCCCUUUCUGAUUAAUUGAAAAUAGCACCUAUCAUAUGUCAAAUAAUGGCAACUGUUCUCCAGAGAAAGGCUUUGUGUAGGAAUUUUAAAAUAAGUUCAAUGAAUUUUCAAUAAAAGUUCUUCCAAAUCAAGUCACAAAGGUAGUUCUAUCCUUCACACAAUUUCCUCAAAGUGAAAUGUUUAGAAGUUAGUUCUUUCUUUUGGAAGCAUACAGCUUCAUCUAGAUGUUAACAGCCAGAUUCUAUUGACCUCUUCAAGUGACCCUACGAUAGAGAAUUUUUCCCUUGCUUUGGAGGCGGACAAAAAAGAUAAACCUUUCUGGAAUCCUAAAAACUCUCAACUUCCUUAGGCCCUAAGAAUUAAAUGCAGGAACCCCCACAGACUGAACAAUUACUAAAUACCGCUUCUUAAACAGGAAAUAGAGUUUGCUUCUGAGCGGUAACGACUCUCCCCGCCCGCGCUCACUCCGGGGCAGGCACCGCCAUGCCCAGGUGGUGACACUGAGCAGAGAUAAGGUGUCCUAACAACCGUAUUUGCCAGGAUCCCGGGAAACCCGCGGCCACUCGGCGACUCCCACAUCACCUGCGCGCAUCCCCCCACGGCUCCACGGAUGCCCCCACUCCACAGACCUGGGCAGCCCAAGGACCCCUCCCGUGGCGACACGGGGUAAGACUGACACCCGCAGCUGCCGACGACCCUGCCAGUCACGCUGCCGCCGGCUGCCUUUUUUAGCCACGACAUCUGACCAGGCUUCCACAGCAGCAUUCACUUUUUACCACAGGACAUACUGUACCCACCCUUUCUGGAUAAUGCAAAAAUCACGUGGAUGAACUUCCUUCUGUCAAGCACAAUAAGAAAUAAACCAGCUGGCCAGCA